ACAAAUGCGGCGAUGAAAAUGGGUAAGCAAAAAGAGAGCGCACAGCAGCGGGUUGCCAUUGCAGUGGAAGCAUGAAAAUAUAAGACUCGCGAAAGUUAACGAAAGCAUACAAAAAUAAUGGUCCAAUCAAAUAUAAAACACUUAAAUAGGAAGAUUUUAAAACAAAAUACUUCUCUCCCUUUGCAUGGGUAUGUAUCGUUUUACGCUGGAUAAUAAUUUUUUCACUAACAAAUACUUUCACUACUUAUUGGCCAAAAGGUAGUAGUCGGUAAUCAAGAGAUACGAAAUUUGUUAGUAACCAAACCAAACAGCUGAGCGCCAAUUUUUUCAGCAGGCAGUGGGGCAAACAAGUACUCAAACAACGAGCGCACACACUCAGCCCAACACACAGGCCGAAGCAAAAGCCAAUGCGACGAACGAGCGAGCGAGCACAACCGAAUUGGAAAAAACGGUGGUAGCGAUGGAACGAUCGAGUGCGCGAACGAAUGCGAUGAAGUGUACCCGGUAGAUGGUAGAUGUUUGAGGCAUUCGCAUAAUCGCAUUUGUAGGUUUGCACUCGCACUCGUUGUCAUAAGCGCGCCGUAGAUACUUUAUCCGUCGCAGUUAGGCAAGUCGUCAGUCUAGUGUCAGAUACGAACUUAUUCAGCUCAGUGUGCGGAAGAAAAAUAUUCACAUUCUCACUUAGUUGCUUAUGAUUAGAAAAGGUUCAAUAUUAACUACCAACAACUGAAUGGCAGCAGAGUAAAAACAAAAAUACAAAAACAAAAACAAAUAGUUAAUAAUCUUAUAAAAUAAUAGUUGCGGUAAAAAUAAUAACACACUAGAUUGAGAAGCGUGAAUAUGUUUCGAGAAGAAGGAAUAAAAUAAAAUAUAAAUAUAAUUGUGGAGUGUAAAUCUGAAUUUUAAAAGUAGCGCGCCACUGUGAGCUGUUAUAAAAGUGUAAAAAGUUUUCAAAACCAUACACAAACCAAAAAAGGAAGAAAAAAUAUCGUUAAAUAAUUACAAAAAUACAUAGAGAAAUAGUUAAGAAGAAAAAACACAUUUCUUAAAAAAUACAUAUUUUCUGUGUUUACUGUUUACAUUAACUGUAUAAAAUACAUACAUACAUAUAGGUAUAGUGUUAAACCAAAGUUUGCAGCAAAGAAAAAAAUUACAGAAUUUCGAAUUUCAAUUCAAUAAAAAAUUAAUUAGGAUUACUCAUUCAGAUUCAUCCAACAAGUAAGCAUCACCUAGAAAACCUAUAUACUUACUUACAAAUAUACCAAAAACCAAGCCAAGCUUCAAAAAAGUAUUCUGUGCUUAUUGUGAUAGACAGCAAGAAAGAAGAAGUGAAAAUUUCGCUCGCAUCUGAGAAAACGCACACUAAAAAUUUACAAUUUAAAAAGAUUGCUUUAAGUGGCACACAAAUUGCUGAAUAGUAGAAAAAACGCAAAUGUUUGAAAGUGAAAAAAACGAUUACCCUAAAAAAAUAAAAAAGUAAAGAAAAAAAGUUAUAAAAUUUUACAAGACAAUUAGUAGUAUAUAAAUAUCAAAAGUGGCGGAAAUGUUUUAAAAUCAUUAAAAAUACAUACACAUAAACGGAUAAUAAUAGCAACAACCAAAUUAGAAAUACAAAAUCAUCAUUCAAAAGAUAUAUGAAAAAAAUUAAUACUUACAUUUCAGUGUAGUGUUCGUGUGUUUGGUGUAUAAAAUAAAGCCGAUUUGCGGAUAUCUGAUCGCAUAGAUAGUGAAUAAUUUGCAAAGCAAAAAAUAGAAGGAAAAAAUCCCGAAAAAACAAACCCUGCAGUAAAGCGGAUUUCAAAUUGGAAAAUUUCAACGUUUGAAAAAAGCAGUAGAAAAUAUUUUAUAUUGGAAAGGCAUUUAUUCGGGCAUAAAUGGUGAGUGAUCGAUCAGUUUACAUUCUUUGAAAACAAGUAAGUUCGUUGAAAUGAUUUCAUAAUUAAUUAAGGCAAGAAAAUACUCGUAUAUCAAAAAGCAAACAGAAAUAUGGCACAAAUCAACAACAAAAAAUUAGCUGAGUUGGUUCAUAUAAUUUCAUCAACUUCAUAAUGAAUAAUAUAAGAAUGAUAAAUAUCUGUACAUAUUUUGCUUUGAUAUCAGAUUUAGAAACGGAGUUAAAUAAUUAUUUUUUUAUUUUUUAUUUUUCAUUUUUC